GUUAGGAGAUUUCGACAUUAAGGGGAAGGUACGGAGGAGGCUCUCAAUCCACCAACCGACACUACAGGGUCUCUUUUAUGUUUUUUCUUAGCUGUGUAUCUUUUCUUUCUCAGCUCACCUUUUUCUCUUUCAGAUCACUCAAGAUUUUCAUCCUUAAUUUCAGGUUUCUUUAUUCAAGGAUUGUGCAUAUGGAUCAUGAGACAGGCGAAUCGUUGGAUUCUGUGCCUUCAGAUAAUGUGAGUUGUGAGCAUGGUGAUUUUGAAUGCAAUAUCUG
rnacentral:misc_RNA from 1 species